rnacentral:rRNA from 1 species
AGAGUUUGAUCCUGGCUCAGGAUGAACGCUGGCGGCGUGCCUAAUACAUGCAAGUCGAGCGAACAGAUAAGGAGCUUGCUCCUUUGACGUUAGCGGCGGACGGGUGAGUAACACGUGGGUAACCUACCUAUAAGACUGGAAUAACUCCGGGAAACCGGGGCUAAUGCCGGAUAACAUGUUGAACCGCAUGGUUCUACAGUGAAAGACGGUCUUGCUGUCACUUAUAGAUGGACCCGCGCCGUAUUAGCUAGUUGGUGGGGUAACGGCCUACCAAGGCGACGAUACGUAGCCGACCUGAGAGGGUGAUCGGCCACACUGGAACUGAGACACGGUCCAGACUCCUACGGGAGGCAGCAGUAGGGAAUCUUCCGCAAUGGGCGAAAGCCUGACGGAGCAACGCCGCGUGAGUGAUGAAGGUCUUCGGAUCGUAAAGCUCUGUUGUUAGGGAAGAACAAAUGUGUAAGUAACUGUGCACAUCUUGACGGUACCUAACCAGAAAGCCACGGCUACUACGUGCCAGCAGCCGCGGUAAUACGUAGGUGGCAAGCGUUAUCCGGAAUUAUUGGGCGUAAAGCGCGCGUAGGCGGUUUUUUAAGUCUGAUGUGAAAGCCCACGGCUCAACCGUGGAGGGUCAUUGGAAACUGGAAAACUUGAGUGCAGAAGAGGAAAGUGGAAUUCCAUGUGUAGCGGUGAAAUGCGCAGAGAUAUGGAGGAACACCAGUGGCGAAGGCGGCUUUCUGGUCUGCAACUGACGCUGAUGUGCGAAAGCGUGGGGAUCAAACAGGAUUAGAUACCCUAGUAGUCC